UCGAAUACCCUUAGCGAUAAAAAAAUACACUUUAAAAUAAAAUCUGCUUACAGAUUUCGAUAGUUUAAACUGCAUGCUAGCAUUGAGCUGUUGCAACAAAAUCCAGCAAGAAUGCCGUGUACAGCAAUAAUAUUAUGAUAAAAUGGCGACUGCGGUCACAGCAGCGAACUUUUACAGUUCUCUUGAGAGUCCGCCGUUUCCCACUUCUGAAUACUGGCUGGGACAAACUCAAAGCUGCUUUCGCUGGGCUUACGCUGUCGGCCUCUGCAUGCGGAUUUUGGACGGCUAUUUACUAGACCAGGGAAAUAAGAGAUAUGGACACUUUCAUAUAUGAGACAUUGAAUUAAGUACCACAAUCACACACUAUCACAACACACCACACAAACCACAAAGGUACACAUGAGAAUAAGCUGGCUGGAACUCAAUUAAGAUCACAGAAAAGCAGCAGGAAAUAUGUCACAAAAAACACGAUCUUUACAAAAUUGUAUGUAAUUAGACGGGAAUUGAAUAAACUGGAAGUAAUUUUAGUUUUGUCGUUUGUUUUACUAUCCGUACCGCUGGCAUUAAGUUACGUAAUAAGUUAGUUUAUUAGCAGUCCAUGCGGUGAUACGGCUUGGUUCUACUUAGUAGAGAGCCAAUUGAAAUAAAAUGCAAAGUUAUUUAAGGUAGUGCAUUAAUUACAUAUGGUGAAACCUUCAACAGUUCUCACUAAUAUAUAAAGGGGAAAGUUUGUGAGUAUGUUAGUUACUUUUUCAUGCUCAAUAGGCUGGACCAAUUUUUAUGAAAUUUGGUAUUCAGCACAGUCAUUUAAUUUAUCUAGAGGAGGUAUCUAAAUGGGUUAUCACCUAUCUAUCUAUAGGUAUGUCCUACAGUCGCCUCGUACGACACCCACGGGAGGAUAUGUAGUGAUCCUAUCCUAGGGCGGAACCACACGCCACAAUUCGCUCAUAUAAGAGAGAGAAAAAUAUAAUACUCGUAUAUGACAUUCAGUUGAAGUGAAAGCUAUCAUAUAAAAUAUCCAGCGAACAUGUAACGGCGUGGUGUAACCGACGGAAAUUGAAACGUUCUUUGCAUUUCAACGAGGACCGUCAUCGUUUCAAUCUAUAGUUUCAAUCGGAUAAUAGAAAUGUGAAUAAUUUGAUACGAGGAGAUAAGAUCUUUCCUAUUCCUAUUACCUAACUUUAAGUUGCAUGUUAAAAUAUUGAAGUUCAGAAAAGUUGGAAGCAAUAUCUUUGGCAUUCUUUUACUAUAUGACUACAAUAGAAAAGCUCUAGUCGACCAAUUUAAUCUAUUAGAUGUAAGUAUACAUUUAAAAGACUUUUCCCAUCACUUAAUUUUAAGCCCGUCAUUGUAUAUUAUAAAAAAUAUUUCUUUCAAGCGAAUAUUAUUUAUCAUUUACAAAAAUAGAUAAAUACUACAAAAAUGUAAAACAUAGUCAAUUACCAAUUGACUAACUGCUAUAAAUAUAUAUUAACUGUUGUUUAUUGUCCCAACAUUUUUUUCAGAAUUUAAAUUGACACCAACCUGGAAUUAGUAUGUACUCGUUUCCUAAAUCCGUGGACACCAAGUAAUAUCAGACGUCAAAAACAAAAUACGUAGGUAAUAUUAGAUUUUAAUAACCACACGUUGAAUAAGUGAAGCAGAACAUUGUCUAGCGUUUACAUAAUGUAGAUUGGUAGUUACUUUGCUAAUGAAAACAAGCUACAGAAACUGUUCGUAGUAAAACCACAAGCGGACGAAUGGGACAGAGUAAAACUAACUAGCUACAUAGUAUACGUCGCAUUUCAAAAUACAUAUUUUAUAUAGGUCGGUAAGAAAUGUUACAGAAUUAAA